rnacentral:lncRNA from 1 species
UCAGUCUGACUACGCGUGCUGACUAUACAUAAUUUUAUUUCUUAAGAUCGAAGGCACGCUUGAAGAUAACGAGGCCAGACUGCGCCGUGCGAACUUUUUCUCGUGCUAAAUCGCAUAGAAAAAUCAGC